UACGUAGGUGGCAAGCGUUGUCCGGAUUUACUGGGUGUAAAGGGCGUGCAGCCGGAGAAACAAGUCAGAUGUGAAAUCCACGGGCUCAACCCGUGAACUGCAUUUGAAACUGUUUCCCUUGAGUGUCGGAGAGGUAAUCGGAAUUCCUUGUGUAGCGGUGAAAUGCGUAGAUAUAAGGAAGAACACCAGUGGCGAAGGCGGAUUACUGGACGAUAACUGACGGUGAGGCGCGAAAGCGUGGGGAGCAAACAGG
rnacentral:rRNA from 1 species